rnacentral:rRNA from 1 species
AGUAACACGUGGAUAACCUACCUAUAAGACUGGGAUAACUUCUGGAAACCGGAGCUAAUACCGGAUAAUAUUUUGAACCGCAUGGUUCAAAAGUGAAAGACGGUCUUGCUGUCACUUAUAGAUGGAUCCGCGCUGCAUUAGCUAGUUGGUAAGGUAACGGCUUACCAAGGCAACGAUGCAUAGCCGACCUGAGAGGGUGAUCGGCCACACUGGAACUGAGGCACGGUCCAG